ACACGACUCUCGGCAACGGAUAUCUCGGCUCUCGCAUCGAUGAAGAACGUAGCGAAAUGCGAUACCUGGUGUGAAUUGCAGAAUCCCGCGAACCAUCGAGUGUUUGAACGCAAGUUGCGCCCGAGCCAUUCGRCCAAGGGCACGCCUGCCUGGGCGUCACGC
rnacentral:rRNA from 1 species